AGUGAACGCUGGCGGUAGGCCUAACACAUGCAAGUCGAACGGCAGCACAGUAAGAGCUUGCUCUUACGGGUGGCGAGUGGCGGACGGGUGAGGAAUACAUCGGAAUCUACUUUUUCGUGGGGGAUAACGUAGGGAAACUUACGCUAAUACCGCAUACGACCUACGGGUGAAAGCAGGGGAUCUUCGGACCUUGCGCGAUUGAAUGAGCCGAUGUCGGAUUAGCUAGUUGGCGGGGUAAAGGCCCACCAAGGCGACGAUCCGUAGCUGGUCUGAGAGGGUGAUCAGCCACACUGGAACUGAGACACGGUCCAGACUCCUACGGGAGGCAGCAGUGGGGAAUAUUGGACAAUGGGCGUAAGCCUGAUCCAGCCAUACCGCGUGGGUGAAGAAGGCCUUCGGGUUGUAAAGCCCUUUUGUUGGGAAAGAAAAGCAGCAGGUUAAUACCCCGCUGUUCUGACGGUACCCAAAGAAUAAGCACCGGCUAACUUCGUG
rnacentral:rRNA from 1 species